rnacentral:misc_RNA from 1 species
AGCAGCCGCGGUAAUUCCAGCUCCAAUAGCGUAUAUUAAAGUUGUUGCAGUUAAAAGCUCGUAGUUGAAUUUCGGGAUCAAUAUAUCGGUCGUGCCUUGGUACGUACUGGUAUCAUUGGUUUCUCCUUUCUGACGAACCAUGAUGUCAUUAAUUUGGUGUUAUGGGAAGUUAGGACUGUUACUUUGAAAAAUUGAGUGUUUAAAGCAGGCUUUGGCUUGAAUACAUUAGCAUGGAAUAAUGAAAUAGGACGUUCGAACCUAUUUUGUUGGUUUCUAGGAUCAACGUAAUGAUUAAUAGGGAUAGUUGGGGGCAUUAGAUUCAAUUGUCAGAGGUGAAAUUCUUGGAUUUAUUGAAGACUAACUACUGCGAAAGCAUUUGCCAAGGAUGUUUUCAUUAAUCAAGAACGAAAGUUAGGGAUCGAAGACGAUCAGAUACCGUCGUAGUCUUAACCAUAAACUAUGCCGACUAGGGAUCGGAUGAUGUUAAAUUUUUAAUGUACUCUAUUCGGCGCC